UUUAGAGGAGCCAGAAGAUACACCUCUGAACUAUUACUGAAUAAAAUCUAAGACUUCAAGAUGAAAUCCCUUAUUUUGAUCGCGUUGUGUGUAUGUUUUUUUGCCUCUGCACAAGUUGUCAUGGCAGGACACGGGUGUUACUGUUUUUUUUACAAAAACGAAACGUGCAGAAAUUAUUGCAGAAGUGAACUCAGUUGUAAUGACGGAGAAUGCGAGAAUCAUCCGUGUGUUUGCAAGUGUAGUGGUUGCAGAAAUUAACUGAAAGGAAAGAACGCAAAGAAAACUAAAUGGCAAUUGUCGCAAUUAACUACUAUAAAAUUAAAGCAUUCAGCACCAG